ACUUGGCUGGCUCAGUGGGAAGAGCAUGUGACUCUUGAUCUCAAGGUUGUGAGUUCAAGCCCACGUUGGGUG
rnacentral:tRNA from 1 species